rnacentral:rRNA from 1 species
UUCCGGUUGAUCCUGCCGGAGGCGACCGCUUUUGGAGUUCGAUUAAGCCAUGCGAGUAGAAAGAAAUUAGAUUCUUUGCGAACUGCUCAGUAACACGUGGAUAACCUGCCCUAUGCUCCGGAAUAACCUCGGGAAACUGAGAAUAAUACCGGAUAGAUCACAACGCCUGGAACGGUGUGUGGUUGAAAGAUUACGGCAUAGGAUGGGUCUGCGGCGUAUCAGGUUGUAGGGGGUGUAAAGGACCUCCUAGCCAUCGACGCGUACGGGUGUUGGGAGACAUAGCCCGGAGAUGGAUUCUGAGACACGAAUCCAGACCCUACGGGGUGCAGCAGGCGCGAAAACUUCACACUGCAGGAAACUGUGAUGAGGGAACUCCAAGUGCACGCACUUAGUGUGUGCUUUUUUCAACUAUUAAUCGGUUGAAGAAUAAGGGCUGGGAAAGACCGGUGCCAGCCGCCGCGGUAAUACCGGCAGCUCAAGUGGUCGUCGCUUUUAUUGGGCCUAAAACGUCCGUAGCCUGUUUGGUAAAUCUGUGGGUAAAUCAACCAGCUUAACUGGUUGAAUUCUGCAGAGACUGCCAGACUAGGGACCGGGAGAGGUGUGGGGUACUCUAGGGGUAGGGGUAAAAUCCUGUCAUCCUUAGAGGACCACCAGUUGCGAAGGCGCCACACUAGAACGGAUCCGACGGUCAGGGACGAAGCCUAGGGGCACGAACCGGAUUAGAUACCCGGGUAGUCCUAGGUGUAAACGCUGUGAACUUGGUGUCGGGAGUCCGCAAUGGGCCCCCGGUGCCGGAGUGAAGAUGUUAAGUUCACUGCCUGGGGAGUACGGUCGCAAGGCUGAAACUUAAAGGAAUUGGCGGGGGAGCACUGCAACGGGAGGAGCGUGCGGUUUAAUUGGAUUCAACGCCGGA